UUGAAGCCUAGCGAUAUGUAAGUUAGUGGCGGACGGGUGAGUAACGCGUGGGUAACCUGCCUUGUACUGGGGGACAACAGUUGGAAACGGCUGCUAAUACCGCAUAAGCGCACAGCAUCGCAUGAUGCAGUGUGAAAAACUCCGGUGGUGUGAGAUGGACCCGCGUCUGAUUAGCCAGUUGGCGGGGUAACGGCCCACCAAAGCGACGAUCAGUAGCCGGCCUGAGAGGGUGAACGGCCACAUUGGGACUGAGACACGGCCCAAACUCC
rnacentral:rRNA from 1 species